ACCUAUGAAAAAUCAGAGCUUCCCCUGCCCCCUUUGCUCACCAGGACAUGGGUCCAGCUGCAGCUGUCCCCCUCACCUCUGCUUUGUGGUGCUGAGCAGCCCGGAUAUGCCAUUGCCCCCCACUCCCAAGCCACAGCCCCCUGCCCUGCCAGCUGUAGCAGAGGGGGGCCCCAGCAGCCAGGGCUGCGGACUAGGGACCUUUGGUCCACAGCUCCCUGCCCUCCACAGCAGCAUCCAAGCCCUGGCUGCUACAUAUGGGAGGCAGCAGCUGAUGCAGUAGAGUGGAGUGGACCCCAUCGGGGCAGGAGUAGGGAUGUGAAGGCCCAGAAAAAAAAAUACAGUAAAAUUUUGGGGGAAAAUUUUGUUCCUUUUUUUUUUUUUGAGGUUUUUUUUUGGGUUUUUUCUGAAAAAGUGAAAAUUUUUGGAAAAAUAAAAUUCCCGUACAUUGCAGACAAGCAGUACAGUACAACUCUCAAAUGCAAAAGCAAGAUGCAUUUCUGCCCCCAGGGGGAACUGCUAUUUUCACAAGAGAAGGAACAAGGAUUCAGCACCUUCUUUGCUUAUAGAUGUCCUCCAUUGUUGACUUCUGAUGUAGAGGUAGGGGGACAGGAGCAGAUCCACCAAACUAGGCCUCUAAGGACUGGGAGUGGACACUGACAGCAGGAUCCAUUCAUUCCUGUAGAGAUUAGAAACAAGGACAUUAUUGUCCUCUUGCUCAAAAGCCUCAGGAGAGCAGACAGAGCAAGUCUAAAGGUUUUGGAGUUGGAAGGAACCUGCCUCCUCCUGGCCCAGUGACCUGGAGAUCCACAGAAGUACAGAAGCAGCACAAAGGUGCUGAAAGAAAGUAUACUUCUUUAUUGAAAGGUAGUUUAUAUUUCUUUGAAUUCAGUAUAUUAAACUAUAUUUUAGCUGCAUUAGUAUAUUUUCAUAACCCAUGUAAUUCAUAAUUGAAUUCCUACUAAUCUGAUGUUUUGUGACAAAUCACCCGCCCUUAGCAGUGAGGUAAGGCCUGCAGGGCAGGGAAGUUAACUGUGAACAACUCUGAGAAGGCUUCUCCCUCCAUCCAUUACUAAAUUUGUACAUGCUUAGUGUCUAUAUAUGCAAGCUAGCUACUAAAUUCCUUUUUUCUCCCUCAACAAAAUGGCGCAACUGACUUCUGGCAUAUGGAAGCAUUUCCACACUGCAAAUUAUUCUGAAAAAAAAAAGUGAGUUGCACAUACUGUCAAAUGAAAUAUGCAUUUCCAAAUGCUACUAGGAUGACCGAACACAUCCUUGUAUGUAAGAAGUGUCCUGCAGACAUUAAAAAGUCCUUCAUGCACGUAAGUGAGGAGGAGGUAGAUCAUAAUGAUGAAAGUGCAAGAAGCUCUUUCCAAAAUUCUUGAUCCAGAAGUCCUCCUCCUACUGCUGCUGCUUCUUCUAUAACAUCAGCAUCAAAAAGGUUGCCCAAUGAACAUCCUCAAGUAACCAAAUUGUAACUGUCUUAUAGUUUUUAGCAAAGACUUUAUAUUAUUUUCUCUUUUCUGUAUAACUGCCGCGCGGCACUCUCACAUUUAUGUAACCUUGAAGUAGACUGUUAAUCAAAAUGAACGCUUUGUACUUCUC
ensembl:lncRNA